rnacentral:lncRNA from 1 species
GUCUAUUCCACAAGACCAUCUAGACAAGAUGCUGCUGGCCAUGCCAGGCCCCACAGCAUGAAAGAUGUCAACCUGAGCUGAAGCCACUUCGAGGGAUGUGUCAAUAAACCAAGGUGUGAGCUUCCUGCUCCUGCCACCAGGCCUGCCUGCUGCUGUGACUCCCAGUCAGGAUGCAUUCUUAUUCUUCUGGAACUGGUCUUGGUUCUGAUGUUUGAUCUCAGCACUAGAAAAGUAACACAACACUUGGCAUUGACCUUUGGCCUUCAUGGAAGGACACACGCACACAUACACACACGCAAAAGAGAAGGUGGGAACUUAUGAUGGGUGUCACUUUAUUGUACUUGUAAAAACAAACUGGUGACAAGCCUUUCGGGCCUGGACUCUACACACUGAUGCAGUGGCUGUGUCGCCUAGGACACUGAUAAACUUUGGGGUUCAAGCAAACAUCUCUGAACUCCAGAAAUCCCAUCACCUUGUGAUACAUACCAGAAGGGACCUAUGUUCGUUGUUGAAAUGAAGGCAUCAUGAGGUUGGAGUUAUUGUUUUCAGCAGAAACCAGUAAAAUCUGACCUGGGGUCAUGAUGCUGAAGAAGACUGACCAAUUAUGGCAAAUAAAAUUUUCUGUGUGGCCACGCUUGUUUGAGCAAACUACUUCUGUAGUGUGUGUGUUUGAAAAAGCCUAAGGGGAACAGGCGAGCUCACUGUGUUUCACCUGAGCAUUUCCUGAGCACUAAGGGGCCGAUGCCACAGCGGUUAUUAUUUGUCACACUGUAAGACUUACAAAGGAGCUCACUGGGAGUGCAUAUGACAUGCAGAACAAUGACUACUAAGUCACAAACUGCUCCUAGAACCUUCAUGAUGCCGCUUUUCAAAGCCAGACCUGGGAUUUCUGUCACAAGGAGAGGACAUCCAGUGAAUGGCUUCAAACAGCUUUGAUGUCCUCUCAGAUGAAACUGAUUUCUUCUUUCUCCAUGAAGAGAGAAGAAACUGCAUACAUGCACUCAGCACAGAGCCUCCGGAGAGGCAGUUUUGGAUUCCGUGAAUACAGUAAUACCUAGGAAGCAAAGACCCAGGCAGGGAAUAGGGUGCUUGCCUGGCAUAUGUGAUGUUCUGAGUUCAGUCUUCCACAUCUAAAGGUGAGGAGGGGCAGAACACUCCUUCAUGGAGCUGACAUUCUAGGGAAAAUGGAACAACGGGCUAGGGAGGUGGGUCAGUGAGUCAGGUGCUGGCCAUGCGAUCAUGAGGCCUGAGUUCAGAUCCAUAGAGACAGUGGGAAAACAGGGCAUGGCCUUGUGUUUUUAGGCCUGUGACCCUGACACGGGGUUUGUAGACCAUGAGAUUAAGCAGUCAGCUUGCUCUGCAACACUGCUUUCAUUUUGUUGCCAUCUUACAAACAGCUGCCUCUGGAGCCACCUGCUGACACAGUGUAGAAUCCUUUGCAGCUAAGAUCACUAAGCAAAGCGGCUCUCCAAGCAAACAGGAGAGAAGCUCAAGAUUAGACUCUGCUCCAUGGACUUCCCACAGCCAAGCAGUUAAAUCAUCCUGAAAAUCUCACUGGUCAUGUGAAUACUCGGAUCCAGUAAAUGGGGUAGCCAUGUGAGGUCCUCUAAAACUCAGGGACCUUUGAUUGAAACUACUGUUGACGUGGUUUUGAGCAAGGAAUAAAUACUGAUCAUGGCUUGCCACCAUCUAUAUCUGCCAUAUCUUAUACCCAACAUGUAAAUGCUGGUAUUUAUUCCACAUGCAACAAAUAAGGAAUAUAGAUUCGGAAUCUGUCUCAAUUCUCCCAUAACAGAAUACUAGCAAUACAUCAAAUUUGCCAUAGUCCACUUUGCCCACUUAGUGAUUUGUUUCAAGAACUUUCCACCUGGGGACAGAACUUUUUCACAUGAAUGUCUGAAGAGUUUUCUGUAGAAGCUGAAUUGCUAUAGCAAAGGGGGAAAAAAGUUGGGAUUUUGGUAAGAAAAUGUGUUUUGUUCCUUCCCGCACUGUGGGCCCCCCCCCC